AUUUGCGUAUGGACUGUAAAUAAAAUACGAGUAAAAUGGUAAAAUGAAGUUUAAUAGUUAUUUCUCAAUCCCUGAAAAUUUGAUGACAAUCGGAUGAAAACUCGAAUUUUGCGAAUCAAUUUUGUGUGUGGCAAUUUCAUCGUGGACACCCUUUAGAUUACAAUUUAAUCAGCAAUAAUUAACGAACGGUUUGUUUCAUUAAUAUAUAUAUUUUUAAUUUCGAAGAAAAUGGAGAACCACCUCCUGAUAUAUCAUUAACACUGAAUGAAAUAAAAAGGGCUGCUAUUCUAAAUAUCUUUCGGCUCACUGCAGAUGCAGGUCUACCGCAAAGCUGUGUCUUGGACACUAUACAAAUCUGCAAAAAUAUAAUUUAACAAGUUUCCGAAUACUUCAAAAUUUGUACUAGGCAAAACUUUCUUAGUUGCAAUUAAUCUUGACAUUGAAAGUGACUCCGUUAGACAAUUUAUCUACGUUUUUAAUGAUCUCGAUUUGUUCCAAGAUGUGAAAACAUAUCCUCGACGGAUAGCUUUUCUUGAAAAUCUCGCGGUUGAAGUCCCAAAACCGGUAUCAAAGUGUGUUGAUACCAGCAAGAAAAUUCACCAUGUGAGAGCAACAAGAGUAAGAAUAAAGCUAAAGUAAGUAACAGUCAAUAUAAGCAUUAAGAGUAGGAAGCAACUUAAAGUAGAGUAACACGAGUAAGAAGAAAAUUAAAUACAAUAAACCUGUAUUCAACAACGAAAAAAAAA